rnacentral:rRNA from 1 species
AGUGAACGCUGGCGGUAGGCCUAACACAUGCAAGUCGAACGGCAGCACAGUAAGAGCUUGCUCUUACGGGUGGCGAGUGGCGGACGGGUGAGGAAUACAUCGGAAUCUACUUUUUCGUGGGGGAUAACGUAGGGAAACUUACGCUAAUACCGCAUACGACCUACGGGUGAAAGCAGGGGAUCUUCGGACCUUGCGCGAUUGAAUGAGCCGAUGUCGGAUUAGCUAGUUGGCGGGGUAAAGGCCCACCAAGGCGACGAUCCGUAGCUGGUCUGAGAGGAUGAUCAGCCCAACUGGAACUGGGACACGGUCCAGACUCCUACGGGAGGCAGCAGUGGGGAAUAUUGGACAAUGGGCGCAAGCCUGAUCCAGCCCUACCGCGUGGGUGAAGAAGGCCUUCGGGUUGUAAAGCCCUUUUGUUGGGAAAGAAAAGCAGCAGGUUAAUACCCCGCUGUUCUGACGGUACCCAAAGAAUAAGCACCGGCUAACUUCGUG